rnacentral:lncRNA from 10 species
UUCCUGGGGCCGAGGAGCGGGGUCUGGAAAUGGGGGGGCCGUCGGGGGGCUCCCCAGACCCUCGGCCGGUGCGCAGGAGGCCCUGCAGGGAGAGGGCUUUGCAGAGCACACAGUGAGGCGUCGCUGGCCCGGAGGGACGAGUCAAGGACAGCUGUGUGCCUUCACAGAAUAUUAGGGCUGGAAGGCACCUUCGGGAUCAUGAACCCAACUUUCUCAUUUAUAGAUAAGGAACUUGAAGCCCAGAGAAGGGAAGGGACUCACUCCUGAGACCACCCAGCAAAAUCUUCACAAAGUGAGGGCAAGGUCCCAGGUGUUCCAGGCCCCCAGCCUGGAGUUCCCUGCGGCACAGUGGGCUGCCCCGCCUGAGCCAGGAUCAGCAGGGACUCAAAUGCCAGCCCCUACCUGGCCCUAUCUGAGGUCUUCCAGCUCCCCAGUGGGAUAGUCCCUCCUUCCCAUCUGGGAUCCCUCCAAGCCCUGCUGACCUCAAUACCACAUUCGUAUUUCAGGAAAGAUACCCUUCCCCUGGGAAUAUGUGGACCAGUCUCCGAGGGGCUGCGUCUCCAGAGUGGAGUGAUGUCCUCCCUGUGUGCAGACUGUGUUCCAUGUGGGUCUGUCGGUUGGCCUAGAAAGUGGAAAUGAGGGAAUGAACCCAGGGUGGGUCUGCUGUGCAGGGGUGGGUGGUAGCAGCUGCCACUGAGGCCCGCCUGUGGGACCCCUACUCAGCCUAUGCCCCAAACAUCCAGAGGCCAGAGGAGGGGAGGGGAGGGAAGGGCAGGGAGUGUGGGAAGAGGAGGAGAUGAGAGAGGAACAGAGAGACCCAGAAAAUAUAGAGACUUCCAGAAAGAGGAGGAGACAGCCGGAGGCUCAGAGAGACAUGGGAAGGAAAAACCUUGAAGAGAGAGCGAGAGAGUGAGAGAGAGAGAGAGAGAGAGAGAGAGAGAGAGAGAGAGAGAGAGAGAGAGAAUGAGACAAGGGAGAAAGCGCACUCGGAAACGGAAAUCCCAGUUUUCAGU